GCCAGGAGUGGUGGCACACACCUGUAAUCCCAGAGGCUUUGGAGGCUGAGGCAGGAGGAUUGAAAGUUCAAAUCCAGCCUCGU
rnacentral:sRNA from 1 species